CGUGGAAAAAUUUGGAUCCCUAUUGAAAUGAAUGACUUCCAUUGGAUGGUACCAUAAAAUCACUUUGGAAGAUUGACAAAAUUCCCAAAGAAGUUCUCCAGAGAACAUGCUGCAUAGAUAACCUGGAAUCUGAAGGGUAUCAAAAUGAUUAUCUUUCACAGAGCAAAUAAUACAACAGGAACAUUUUCUUCUUAGGUUUCAUUCAGGUGAUAUAAAUAUUUCAGUUAUUCUGACCUUUCCCUCCAGUUUUUUU
rnacentral:lncRNA from 11 species